rnacentral:rRNA from 1 species
CCAGUAGUACACGCUUGUCUCAAAGACUAAGCCAUGCAUGUCUGAGUUUACUUGUGAAACUGCGAAUGGCUCAUUAAAACAGCUAUUGUUUACAGAUAUUUGGCUUUAAAUGGAUAUCCGUGGUAAACCAGAGCUAAUACAUGCGUUACGUCCGACUUUCUACGAAGGACAGUAUUUACCAGAUGCAACCUUUUGGUGACUGAGUAACUGAUCGAAUCGCCUUUGUGUGCGAUGAAUCUACAAGUUUCUGCCCUAUCAGCUUGAUUGAAGUGUCUUGGACUACAAUGGCCGUCACGGGUAACGGGGAUCAGGGUUCGACACCGGAGAGGGAGCCUGAGAAACGGCUACCACUUUUACGGAAGGCAGCAGGCGCGUACAAUACCCAAUCCUAAUUCAGGGAGGUUGUGACAAGAAAUAACAGACCGGAUUCCGGGUGUGCAAUGGGUUACACUUACACGAAAACACUAGGAACCAUUGGAGGGCAAGUCUGGUGCCAGCAGCCGCGGUAAUUCCAGCUCGAAUAGCGUGAGUUAAAGUUGCUGCAGUUAAAAGGCUCGUAGUUGGACUUCUGGACUUGACAGCCGCUUCAUCGUCUGUUGGGUCCAUCCAUCCGUCAACGGUUCAUGGUCUUGUCGACUGGUUCCGGGCUCGGAUACUUGACCAUGAGGAAAUCAGAGUGUUUGAGGCAGGCUCGCGCCCGAAUACAUGAGCAUGCAUUCUAUCAAGCUUGCAAAGGUGUUUCACCUAGUUUAAGGUUAACUGCGGACAGUUGGGGGCGUUGUACUCCAUUGCCAGAGGUGAAAUUCUUUGACCUAUGGAUGACAAACGAAUGCGAAAGCCAUCUGCCAAGAAUGUUCGCAUCAAAUCAGGAGCUAAAGUUGAGGGGAUCAAAGACGAUCAGAUACCGUCCUAGUCUUAACCUUAACCAUUGCCGACAAGCGAUCGGGGGCGCGCGCUUUCCGCCUUCGGCAGCUUUCGAGAUAUCAAAGUCAGGUUCUGGGGGAAGUAUGGUCGCAAGGCUGAAACUUAAAGGAAUUGACGGAAGGGCACCACCAGGAGUGGAGCCUGCGGCUUAAUUUGACUCAACACGGGAAAACUCACCCGGUCCGGACACUGUAAGGAUUGACAGAUUGAUAGCUCUUUCUUGAUUCGGUGGGUGGUGGUGCAUGGCCGUUCUUAGU